UAAGUAUGGGAGUGUUGCAGGCUGGAUCUUCUUGGAGAGUCACAAUGCACCCUAGAAUAUUAAAGACUUGAGAAAUGUUUCAUAAAGAAACCAUAUUUAUCUUUUGUUUUAAUUUUUUAAGGUUUCAUUUAAUUGCUCUUGUUUUUUCAUUAAACAACACUUAAUGCAGGGUUAUUUUCAGUUUCAAACAGUAGAGCCUGGAAGCCUGUGAUUUUGGCUCAGGGUCUCGGCUUGACCUGAUGAAAUUGUGGAGAACACCCUGAUAGAGUGCAGACUCUGGUCUCCUAGGUCCCCUCUGUGGGGCCUGUGUCCUAGAUACCUCUGCAUCCCCAUCCUGAAGGCUAGAGUGGCUGAAAGGAAGUGUGGUGAGAGGCAGGCCAGGAGCUGCUAUUGGCUUGUGCUGCUGGACCCUCAGGCGGGGGGUCCUACGGAGGAAGCAGAGCCCAGGCCCACACAGUGUUGGCUGCUGGCACUAAGGCGGGUGUCACAUGCCAUCACAGGUCACAGUUCUGUUGCUAGGUGCUCCUGGGGAAGGCUGCUGUGUGAGUUCUAAUAAUUCACAUGGAGACACAUUUCAUUUAUGACCUGUCUCUAUGUAGUCUCUGACCCCUGUCAUAGGGCUGGGGGGCAGUGUAAAGAUGGGUUUACCCCAAAGAUAGAGUUGUCCCAUGAAGUUUUGUAUUCACCCCAAGGGAAGCUGUGGGUCUGUCAGAAGAGAUGACAUCCACCACUACCACAGAAUGGAGAUAACUCUGGGCCUGACUUUCCUGAUUCCUCCCUUGACAUCCUCAAAGCUCUGGCCGGGCGUGAUGGCUCACUCCUGUCAUCCCAGCAUUUUGGGAAGCUAAGCUGGGUGGAUCACCUGAGUUCGGGAAUUCGAGACUGGCCUGACCAACAUGGUGAAACCUCGUCUUUACUAAAAAUACAAAAAUUAACUUGGCAUAGUGGCGGGAGCCUGUAAUCCUAGCUACUCGGGAGAGUGAAGGAGGAGAAUUGCUUGAACCUGGGAGGCAGAGGUUGCGGUGAGCCGAGACUGCACCACUGCACUCCAGCCUGGGCAACAGAGUGAGAUUCCGUUUCAGAACAAGCAAACAAAGUAUCCUCAAAGCUCUGAAGUGAGCAGCCCGGUGGGAGCUGUGCAGCCCACACUGUGCCAUGCUCUGUGCCAUGCUGGUCAGUCACAGCACUUCGGCUGGCUUAGAUGUAUAGUCUGAGGGUACUAAGAAAUUAGAUAUACAGGACAGUGUUUCAAAAUACCAUCCACUUCAAAAAACCCCAAAGCAUCCGUAAUACUUCUUUUCAGUUUAAAAGUCAUCUUCUUAUCAAAAACGUCUUGCAUG
rnacentral:lncRNA from 1 species